UCGAUGAAGAACGCAGCGAAAUGCGAUAAGUAAUGUGAAUUGCAGAAUUCAGUGAAUCAUCGAAUCUUUGAACGCACCUUGCGCUCCUUGGUAUUCCGAGGAGCAUGCCUGUUUGAGUGUCUUGAAGUCAUCAACCUCUCCCGUUUUGCGACGGGUCCAGGUUGGAGCCUGGGGGCUUGCGGCCGCGAGGCUGCUCCCCUCAAAUGCAUCGGUUGGGCCUGCGGGUCGGACUCGGUUGGGCGUUGUACCAUCCUCGCUCUUAUUCCGAGAUGUUCCCCUAUUAAUGUGCCCUCCCACGACCGCCCCGUCUGGAGUCGGCGGUCAAAGCUUUUUGAAGCACUUUGAAAUCUGACCUCAAAUCAGGUAGGACUACCCGCUGAACUUAA
rnacentral:rRNA from 1 species